rnacentral:rRNA from 1 species
UAACAUUGGUUGCUUGCGACCAGAUGACGAGUGGCGCACGGGUGCGGAACGCGUAUCGAACCUGCCCCUGUCGGGGGAAUAGCCCAUGGAAACGUGGAUUAAUGCCCCAUGGCGACCCGUUGCCGCAUGGCAACGGGUCUAAAGAUUUAUCGGACGGGGAUGGCGAUGCGUGCCAUUAGCUUGCCGGUGGGGUAACGGCCCACCGGGGCGACGAUGGCUAGGGGCCCUGAGAGGGGGAUCCCCCACACUGGUACUGAGACACGGACCAGACUCCUACGGGAGGCAGCAGUGAGGAAUAUUGGACAAUGGCCGGAAGGUUGAUCCAGCCAUGCCGCGUGCGGGAUGACGGCCCUACGGGUUGUAAACCGCUUUUAUACGGGAAGAAACCUCCCCACGUGUGGGGAUCUGACGGUACCGUAAGAAUAAGGACCGGCUAACUCCGUGCCAGCAGCCGCGGUAAUACGGAGGGUCCGAGCGUUAUCCGGAAUCAUUGGGUUUAAAGGGUCCGUAGGCGGGCCUAUAAGUCAGGGGUGAAAGGCCACGGCUCAACCGUGGGACUGCCCUUGAUACUGUAGGUCUUGAGUCAUGGUGGGGUUGUCGGAACGUGUGGUGUAGCGGUGAAAUGCAUAGGUAUCACAUAGAACACCGAUCGCGAAGGCAGGUGGCCAACCAUGUACUGACGCUGAUGGACGAAAGCGUGGGUAGCGAACGGGAUUAGAUACCCCGGCAGUCCACGCCGUAAACGAUGGACACUAGCUGUGGGGACUUUGGUCUCCGUGGCCAAGCGAAAGUGAUAAGUGUCCCACCUGGGGAGUACGUUCGCAAGA